rnacentral:tRNA from 1 species
GUGGUGGCUCAUUGGUAGAGUGCUUGCUUAGCAUGCAUGAGGCCCUGGGUUCGAUUCCUCAGCACCACA